rnacentral:rRNA from 1 species
CGGCCGGGAACUCAAAGGAGACUGCCAGUGAUAAACUGGAGGAAGGUGGGGAUGACGUCAAGUCAUCAUGGCCCUUACGACCAGGGCUACACACGUGCUACAAUGGCGCAUACAAAGAGAAGCGACCUCGCGAGAGCAAGCGGACCUCAUAAAGUGCGUCGUAGUCCGGAUUGGAGUCUGCAACUCGACUCCAUGAAGUCGGAAUCGCUAGUAAUCGUAGAUCAGAAUGCUACGGUGAAUACGUUCCCGGGCCUUGUACACACCGCCCGUCACACCAUGGGAGUGGGUUGCAAAAGAAGUA